AGUUAGAAGGCCAAGUUCUAACUGUAGUUCAAGCUGUCCCAGAUCCAGCAGCUAUGGGAAAUAGUGAAAACCAAGUCCCUUUGUGCAAUCCCUGACCAUGCAAGGCCCCUUCUUAAGAGGCCAACAGUAAGUUCUGAAGCUAAAAAAUGUGUUCACUUCUGAAGGCGUUUCGUCUAUCUCUGAGCUG